CCACAAUGGGAAUAUAAAAACGGUCCCGGCCCCGGUGCUCCUCACACGGCUCCUCUUGGUUUGCUUUUCCCUCCAAGCUUGGUUUCCCUCCACCCCUCCACCCCAAGAUGUCCUGCUGCUACUCCCCCUGCUACACCCUGUGCUGCUCCCCCUGCUACCGCAGCUACACGCUGAGCUGCUACAAGCCCUGCACCACGCGCACCCUGAGCUGCUACCGCCGCUCCUACGGCACCUGCUGCAACUACCGGAGCUGCACCACRCGCUGCUACUACCCCUCGUACCGCUCCUACACCUGCUGCUCCCCCUGCUCCUACUCCUGCUGCUACCCCUGCUGCUACUCCUGCUGCUAAACCAUGGAAAAAAAACCCCGCAACCGGACCGACACAACCAGAAGACCAAUGGCUGAUGUUUGUGAAAGCGCCGAGCCCCCCGCGGUGAAGUUAUGAUGAACGAGGGCUUUGCCGUGCCCUAGAACCUCUUGGAAUUUGUUUUUCUUGUUUUCUCUGUCUCCUUCUUCCUGUCUUUCUCAACUCUCCUGACAUUCCGCGUCCAAACCUUCUCACAGCCCCUUCAGCAACGGGAGGGGCGAUCUGCAAUUCAUGGAUUCGGCUUCCUAGAGUUGCUCUGUGAAAUGAGAUUUGGUGUCAUCUGCAUUUCCAACAAGCACUUCCAGCCCUGAGUAAUGGAGCGUUAGGGCUGCCUCGCCUUUGAUCUGCGUUUACAAGCACCUGAAGGAUGAACUACACGGCUGCAACAAAAAGGARUGUUCUGGAGAGCAGUGACUCAUCUGGGGCUGCUGCCAGCAUCCCAAAACUAUAAUCUUUCUGUGUCUGUGCCAACCCCUUUUCUUGUUUCAUUAAAUACUUUCUGCAUUUGAAAAAAAAAAAAAAAACCCCUCUGGGGAUCCGGUUGUUUUCUCGCUUUUGUCCUUGGUUUGGAUAUUCCAGGAGCUGUGGAAUUCUGGAGGGACUUUCUGUCCUCGAAUCCAUGUCCAGCUCUGGGGCCUUCAUGGCAAGAGGGACACGGAGGAGCUGGAGAAUGCCCAGGGAUGGGAACGGGGCUGGAGUAGCAGGAGAAGAGUCUGGAGAAUCCUGAGGGAGCUGGGAAGGGGCUGAUCCUGGAGAAAAGGGGGAUCCAGGGGGAAUUUGGGAUCUGCCRGGGGCGAUUUGGGAUCUGAUCCCAGGGAACGGGRCCGGGACGAGAGGCAAUGGAUUCAGACUGUGCAAGAGGAGGCUCAGGGGGGGAAUUUGGGGAAAUUCUUCCUGAAAAGAGCAGGUGGGCCUUGGCAGGGGCUGCCCAGGGAGGGUUGGAUCACCAUCCCUGGAGGUGUCAAGGGAAGGACUCUGGGUGAGCAGGUGGGGAUCGGGUUGGACUCCACAAUCUUGGAGCUGUUUUCCAGCCUCAGUACAGGAAUUCUGUCAUUCAAAGCUCUUCCCACCCUCCUUCACAGGUCAUGGUGGGGAAACUCUUUCCUACAUCUGCUAUCCUAGAAAUCCCUUACCAGGGAAUCCAGGUACCAACAGGACCAGGGAAGUUCCACCCACACCUUCAAAACUUGAACCCAGCAAGCCCAGAUAAAAGGCACAGAGAACCCUGACAUUCCAGAGGAGCCUCGAUCCCAACAGAAAUUCUGAAAGGAAAAUUCCCCAUCCAGGGCGAGAUGAUUUAGAUGUAGAACACCAAAGAUGAUUUACAUUUAGAACACUUAAGAUGAUAACGUGGCACAGAACGAGGUGGUUCAACAAACAGAGCCCAGCCUGGAUCCCCUGCGAGCCCAAUUCCACAUCAAAAUAACAGCAGGAGUCACCAACAUUAGUGCAGAAGUGGCUGUGAGGGGCCACCUCUGGGCUGGAGAUAGCCAUGGCCACCCCUCCUCUCGCCAUGGCGGCAGGAACAGCUCCAACUAUCCCAGGUGGCUCCAGCCUGGCCUUGGACUCUUCCAGCAUUGGGAAAUCCAUGGAAUAACUUGAGCCAGGGCCGCCACACCUUCACAGCCCAGCUCUGGUCUC